rnacentral:rRNA from 1 species
AGCGAACGCUGGCGGCAGGCCUAACACAUGCAAGUCGAACGAAGUCUUCGGACUUAGUGGCGGACGGGUGAGUAACACGUGGGAACGUGCCUUUAGGUUCGGAAUAACUCAGGGAAACUUGUGCUAAUACCGAAUGUGCCCUUCGGGGAAAGAUUUAUCGCCUUUAGAGCGGCCCGCGUCUGAUUAGCUAGUUGGUGAGGUAAAGGCUCACCAAGGCGACGAUCAGUAGCUGGUCUGAGUGGAUGAUCAGCCACAUUGGGACUGAGACACGGCCCAAACUCCUACGGGAGGCAGCAGUGGGGAAUCUUGCGCAAUGGGCGAAAGCCUGACGCAGCCAUGCCGCGUGAAUGAUGAAGGUCUUAGGAUUGUAAAAUUCUUUCACCGGGGGCGAUAAUGACGGUACCCGGAGAAGAAGCCCCGGCUAACUUCGUGCCAGCAGCCGCGGUAAGAC